rnacentral:tRNA from 1 species
ACCUGGGUGGCUCAGUUGGUUAAGCAUCUGACUUUAGCUCAGGUCAUGAUCUCAUGGUUCGUGGGUUCGAGCCCCGUGUCAGGCU